rnacentral:rRNA from 1 species
GAUCAUGGCUCAGGAUGAACGCUAGCUACAGGCUUAACACAUGCAAGUCGAGGGGCAGCGCAGUGUAGCAAUACAGUGGGCGGCGACCGGCGCACGGGUGCGUAACGCGUAUCCAACCUUCCCGUUACUCAGGGAUAGCCUUCCGAAAGGGAGAUUAAUACCUGAUGGUGUUGAAAUUCCGCAUGUUAUUUCAACUAAAGAUUUAUCGGUAACGGAUAGGCUCGCGUGACAUUAGCUAGACGGCGGGGUAACGGCCCACCGUGGCUACGAUGUCUAGGGGUUCUGAGAGGAAGGUCCCCCACACUGGAACUGAGACACGGUCCAGACUCCUACGGGAGGCAGCAGUGAGGAAUAUUGGUCAAUGGACGCAAGUCUGAACCAGCCAUGCCGCGUGCAGGAAGACGGCUCUAUGAGUUGUAAACUGCUUUUGUACAAGGGUAAACCCUGGGACGCGUCCCAGGCUGAAAGUACUGUACGAAUAAGGAUCGGCUAACUCCGUG